rnacentral:rRNA from 1 species
GACAGAGGCCCCAAGCGUUAGGCGGAAUCACUGGGCUUAAAGCGUGUGUAGGCGGACGCCUAAGUGUCUUGUGAAAUCCCACGGCUCACCCGUGGAACUGCUGGGCAUACUGGGCGUCUUGGGCCAACUAGGGGCAGCCGGAACAAGCGGUGGAGCGGUGAAAUGCGUAGAUAUCGUGAGGAACACCAGAGGCGAAGGCGGCUACCUGGACAAUUGCUGACGCUCAGGCACGAAAGCGUGGGGAGCAAAAGGG